GAUGAACGCUGGCGGCGUGCCUAACACAUGCAAGUCGAACGGAAGYUKAWCGCUGAYGARRCUUCGGCAGAAUCUUGAUAAACUUUAGUGGCGGACGGGUGAGUAACGCGUGGGCAACCUGCCUCAUACUGGGGGAUAACAGUUGGAAACGACUGUUAAUACCGCAUAAGCGCACAGAGUCGCAUGACUCAGUGUGAAAAACUCCGGUGGUAUGAGAUGGGCCCGCGUCAGAUUAGCCAGUUGGCGGGGUAACGGCCCACCAAAGCGACGAUCUGUAGCCGGACUGAGAGGUCGGACGGCCACAUUGGGACUGAGACACGGCCCAAACUCCUACGGGAGGCAGCAGUGGGGGAUAUUGCACAAUGGAGGAAACUCUGAUGCAGCGACGCCGCGUGAGUGAAGAAGUAUUUCGGUAUGUAAAGCUCUAUCAGCAGGGAAGAAAGGCUCGCAAGAGAGAUGACGGUAC
rnacentral:rRNA from 1 species